rnacentral:ribozyme from 13 species
GAGAAGCAAUGGAUGCUGAUCGAUUGAAAAGAUUCCCCAUUGUUUGUUUUUUGGAUUUUUCUUGUUUCUUCUGCUUCUUUUUUUUUC